rnacentral:rRNA from 1 species
AGGGCACCACCAGGAGUGGAGCCUGCGGCUUAAUUUGACUCAACACGGGAAAACUCACCCGGCCCGGACACUGGAAGGAUUGACAGAUUGAGAGCUCUUUCUUGAUUCAGUGGGUGGUGGUGCAUGGCCGUUCUUAGUUGGUGGAGUGAUUUGUCUGGUUAAUUCCGAUAACGAACGAGACUCUAGCCUACUAAAUAGAUCGUCGGCUUACAAACGCCGACGAGACUUCUUAGAGGGACAGGCGGUGAUUCAACCGCACGAAACAGAGCAAUAACAGGUCUGUGAUGCCCUUAGAUGUCCGGGGCCGCACGCGCGCUACACUGAAGUGAUCAGUGUGCUUUUGUCAACCUACUCUGUCAAGAGUGGGGAACCCAAUGAACCUUCUUCGUGAUUGGGAUAGGGGAUUGUAAUUAUUCCCCUUGAACGAGGAAUUCCCAGUAAGCGCGAGUCAUAAGCUCGCGUUGAUUACGUCCCUGCCCUUUGUACACACCGCCCGUCGCUACUACCGAUUGAAUGUUU